rfam:Vitrella brassicaformis CCMP3155 genome assembly, contig: scaffold155
GCUUCUGUAGCUCAAUGGAAGAGCAUCCGGCCGUAAACCGGAAGAUCGAAGUUCAAUCCUUUGCGGAAGCG